UCAAAUAAACCCAAGGGUGGGUGGCGGAUCUGGGUUACACGGGCGUGGGAGGUCAAAAACGACCGGCCCAGGCUGGUUUGGCAGCUUCCCAAACGCUGAGCUGCACUUUCAAUACAGUUCAUAGCAGAAUAUGUACAGCAUGCCAAACAUGCCCUUUAAUUCUCCCACGUCGUGUAUUGUAAAGGCGAUUACUCGUUGUGCAUGUUUU
rnacentral:lncRNA from 1 species